CCCCUAGAUGUUCUGGGCCGCACGCGCGCUACACUGAACAGUUCAACAAGUCUUAACCUUGGCCGAUAGGUCUGGGUAAUCUUUGAACGCUGUUCGUGAUUGGGAUAGACCUUUGCAAUUAUGGGUCUUCAACGAGGACUUCCUAGUAAACGCAAGUCAUCAGCUUGCAUUGAUUACGUCCCUGCCCUUUGUACACACCGCCCGUCGCACCUACCGAUUGAAUGGUCCGGUGAAAUCUCGGGACGGCGGCUCGGUCGCUUGCGUCCGACUGCUGAAACUUGAUUAAACCAUAUCAUUUAGAGGAAGGUGAAGUCGUAACA
rnacentral:rRNA from 1 species